rnacentral:rRNA from 1 species
CCCUUAGAUGUUCUGGGCCGCACGCGCGCUACACUGUUCGACGCAGCGAGUCUUAACCUUGACCGAAAGGUUUGGGUAAUCUUCAGCAAAGUCGAACGUGAUGGGGAUCGAUCAUUGCAAUUAUUGGUCGUGAACGAGGAAUUCCUAGUAAGUGCAAGUCAUCAGCUUGCGCUGAUUACGUCCCUGCCCUUUGUACACACCGCCCGUCGCUACUACCGAUUGAAUGGUUUAGUGAGAUCUCUGGAUUGACGCUGGCUAGGGGGCGACCCUUGGCCAGACUGCUCGAGAAACUGCUCAAACUUGAUCAUUUAGAGGAAGUAAAAGUCGUAACA